UGUAUUUCAGCAUAAAAACGACCAUAAUUAUUGAUGUUUUGUGCUUUUGGACAUAAACUUUGCAGUGAUUUUGGCGUGAGUUCAUUGAAUGUAGCAAAAACAUUUAUUGUUUCCGAAAAAGAAAAUCACAAAACUAAAAUUGUCGGCCAUUUUUGUUCUAGCAAAAUUUCAAUAUUUUUACUUAUGGCAAACACUUUUAAUUGCGUAUUUUUCACU